rnacentral:rRNA from 1 species
GAGUGUAACGGAGCUGAUCGAGCUCGGCUCGACUCUCCCACCCAAUGUGUACCUACCUCUGUUGCUUUGGCGGGCCGCGGUCCUCCGCACCGGCGCCCUUCGGGGGGCUGGCCAGCGCCCGCCAGAGGACCAUAAAACUCCAGUCAGUGAACUUCGCAGUCUGAAAAACAAGUUAAUAAACUAAAACUUUCAACAACGGAUCUCUUGGUUCUGGCAUCGAUGAAGAACGCAGCGAAAUGCGAUAAGUAAUGUGAAUUGCAGAAUUCAGUGAAUCAUCGAAUCUUUGAACGCACAUUGCGCCCCUUGGUAUUCCGAGGGGCAUGCCUGUUCGAGCGUCAUUUCAACCCUCAAGCUCUGCUUGGUGUUGGGCCCCGUCCUCCACGGACGCGCCUUAAAGACCUCGGCGGUGGCGUCUUGCCUCAAGCGUAGUAGAAAACACCUCGCUUUGGAGCGCACGGCGUCGCCCGCCGGACGAACCUUUGAAUUAUUUCUCAAGGUUGACCUCGGAUCAGGUAGGGAUACCCGCUGAACUUAAGCAUAUCAAUAAGCGGAGGAA